AAAAUCUACAAAAUUACAAGCUGGGCUAGUUAUGGCUAUGUAAAACCAGUAAUAACAUUAUAAGCUGAGAAAUUGAAGUUACUACAAAAUUACAAGCUGAGCUAGAUAUGGCUAAUGUAAAACCAGUAAUGAACGUUAUAAGCUGAGAAAUUGAAGUUACCACCAUAACAUGAAUUUUGAUAAGGCCGGUCACGGCAAAAACAAACAAAUUCAUUAUUCUCAAAUCCACAGCGACCACCACUUAUUUCACAACUACUGCAAUUAUGUGCAGUCCAAUUCAACAUGAACCCCAUCUUCAAAAUCUCAGUAUAAUUCUUUUGGAAUAUACUAUUUUCAAAAUCGCCAGUAGCAUGUAAAGGAGAGUUAACUAAGUAAUGACAUGACUCUAAAGAAUAGUUAUAAUACAACUCUAAUUCUUGAACAUGAAAAGCGGCAAAAGAAUAAAAAGAAGCAUUAGUAGCACAAGUUAUCGGGUAGGAAAAGAACUUUGUUGGCUUCA
rnacentral:lncRNA from 1 species